CUCACGCGUGCACACCUACCGUUGUCCGUGUCUUAUUCGUUACGGUGUGAACAAAUAUUUUCCCACAUCGCUUCUCGACACAUGUACAUAGGGUGUAUAGUUUCGGAAACGAGUAAAACCCCUUC
ensembl:ncRNA K08A8.29 ncRNA